CUACGGGGCGCUCCAGUGGGGGAUAUUGCACAAUGGAGGAAACUCUGAUGCAGCAACGCCGCGUGAGGGAAGACGGUCUUCGGAUUGUAAACCUAAGUAGUCAGGGACGAUAAUGACGGUACCUGAAGAGUAAGCUCCGGCUAACUACGUGCCAGCAGCCGCGGUAAUACGUAGGGAGCGAGCGUUAUCCGGAUUUACUGGGUGUAAAGGGUGCGUAGGCGGGUUCGCAAGUCAGGCGUGAAAUACCGAGGCUCAACCUCGGGGCUGCGCUUGAAACUGUGAAUCUUGAGUGAAGUAGAGGCAAGCGGAAUUCCUAGUGUAGCGGUGAAAUGCGUAGAUAUUAGGAGGAACACCAGUGGCGAAAGCGGCUUGCUGGGCUUUUACUGACGCUGAGGCACGAAAGCAUGGGGAGCAAACAGGAUUAGAUACCCGUGUAGUC
rnacentral:rRNA from 1 species